UAGAAUAGUUGAGAAACAAUAUUUAUCUACGAGGUCUAAUCAAAAAGUCCACAGAUAAUAUUCAAACUGAGGACAUCAUAGAAAUAUAUGAAUAUCUAUUUAAAAAAUCGAGUAUGAAUCGAAAUAUUUCUAUGAUUCUGAGACUGAAAAAACUCGUUUUUAUUUGGUGUAACCUGUAAUCAAUCGAUUUCACGCCUUGAUGAAAACUUGCCAAGUUUAGAACUCCUACAAGUGUAUUUUUAAACGCUAAUGCUAUAAGGAUCAUGCUUCCUUUCAAUUCAAUGUAGAUACCUAUAUCCAUUUUGCGUCAUUCGUUGUUAAGAUUGCUAUUUUAAAAGGUCAAAUGUUUGCCGAGAUCAAGAAGCUUAAUUUUUUUUAAUGUGCUGCGAGCUGGUUAUUAGAAUAAAAAACGGAACCAACCACAAAUAAGACUUCCUUGACCAAAGUGACCUCAUCUCGUCCAAAAGAAAAAUAAGUAUAUUUCUAGCAAUUUCAAGAUGAUAGACUUUGCGUAAUUUUCCUACCGCUAAAAUGCUGAACUUUGGACUUUCAAAUAAAGCAUAAAUUCUAUUUCGGAUUCGAAAUUGAUUUAAAUUUAGAAGCAUGUAAAGGAUGAACGAACUCUGCAUUAAAAAUUGAUAUUAAUGCAUGUGGUUAUUGCAAUUUCAAAAAUAAACUAUCUAUAUUAG